GUCGGAUAGCUCAGUUGGUAGAGCAGAGGACUGAAAAAUCUCGUGUCACAGUUCAAAUCUGGUUCCUGACA
rfam:Helianthus annuus unplaced genomic scaffold HanXRQChr00c0439, whole genome shotgun sequence.